GGCCCAGAUUUAAAUUCUGAUUCCACUGCAAGUUGGUUGGAUUACCCAAAGGAAAGUCCUUUCCUUUUCUAAGUCUCAGGACAAUAUAGGAUUUACCUUGCCCAGCUUCUAGAAGUUACUCUGUGAGAUGUCCUGCCUGGUGCUAUUCUAGGUGCUAAUGAUGCAGCAGGGAACCAAACAAGACAUUGCUCUCUGGGAACUUACCUUCAAGUGCCAACUGGAGAUUAAAGAAGAGGAGACGAAGCCAGAGUUCUGUGCCGAUUGGAGAUCCAAAAUUGUAGCAGUUGCCUCUCUACCAGCCAUCACUGAGAGGAGGACAGAACCCAAAGAAUCACAGAGAAAUGAAUCAGGACUCAGCCUUGACGAUGACAAUUAACUCUGAACUUGCAGUUACUGAGUCAAUAAAUGUGUUUAAAUUGUAUGCUGUUACUUGCCACCAAAUGCUUCCCAGGUAACCUCACUCACACACCUCCACCUCGAGUCUCUGAGGGAGUCACUCUCUAGAUGCUAGACUAGGUCUCUUUGAAGCUAUUUGCCUACCUGAAGGACAACGUAGGAGUUGAGUACAGAUUUCAACUUUGACUCUGGCACUUAUUUCCUGUGUGAACCUCAGGCAAGUUACUUAAAUCCUCUAUGCUCAGUUUCUUCAUCUGUGAAGUGGGGACAACAGUCAUAUUCCAUAGUUGUAUAAGGACUAUGAGAGAAAUCACGUAAAGUGCUUAGAACUAGGCCUGGCAUAUAAUUACUGGCAUUAAUACAUGAAUUUCGUCAAUGCCUACUGCCCGAUCUCUCCCUCCCUAACAGCAGGACCCCAACUGCACACUCUCUGUGCCUACUUGGAUCACUACCUGUAAUUUCCAUCCCCGAAUCCAAUCCAAGGGUCUUUUUAAC